AGAAUUCUUCGAAGAGCAGCGUGCGUAGGCUUCGAAGCCGGGAACGGAGCUUGAGUUCUUCGAAGAGCAGCGUGAAGUGAACCGGAGUUUUCGAUGAGUAACGAUGAUCUCAGACCGAGAAAUGACAACAUAUUGGCUGGGAUGUUAUUCAUCCAACAUGUAAGGUAGAGUUCUUCGAAGAGCAGCGUGCGUAGGCUUCGAAGACGAGAGAAAGUUGCAGGAAUACGACCUGAUGAAGAUCUCGAU